GUCCAUCGCAAGUCACUGCACACGUAUUAAUUCAAUCAGCUCUAUGGUCUAACCCAGGCACAACAGGAAUACAACCUUUUACUACAGAUGUGGGAUUGUUCAUGUCAUCUACUAAUGCAAGAUGGAUCUGAGAACGCUGUCUGGGCUUGGUACCAAGAGCUGGUAUUUCACAGCAGCGACCGCCUCACAGACGAGCUGUGGGAAGCAGGAGGGAGACUCUCUCUUAGGGUGCCACUACUAUGGAGACACAGCUGGGCUGAACAAGAUUUGCUUCAAACGACAACAAGAGAGACAGAAAGUAUCUGGUUCAACCGCUGCCCGAGCAGGCAGGCACCAGAAGAGCUAGCAGCCAAUCCGGCCAUGCUCGAAGCCAGCUCUGCAGCUCAGCCAAUCAGUGACAUCAUUGCUUUCUUUAGCUUGCCCAUGGUGAUGUGAAGAUGAGAAGAAAUAGCAAGGCCCAACCAGUUCUUCAUCUGGAGACAGUUCAACGUUCUGCAAACCAGGACAGUACUACAGAAGGACUAAGUAUAUAGGAAACUUGACUUAUUUAAAUAAGGCAGUGAAAAAAAUAGAAUAUGGGGAGUAAAACAACCUCUGAAGCUAAGUCUGCAUAUAUAAUAACUGGAUCUUCAGGAAUUUUACUGGGAUAAUUAUCCAAAUAAAUUGCAAGCAUUCUAUCCAAAUGGUGAUCUUCUGAGAUAUUUUGAGGGAAAGAGGUAGUAUACCAAAAUGGAAAUACUACGCAAGGGAAAUCUGGGAAGAAAGAGAAUAGAAUGAGGUACAUGUUAGAAAUGGAAAUGGCGAAGACAUCCAUAAAAAUUCAUCAGAGAGCAUUUUACUACUGAGCUGCAAAGGGAAAAACUUAAAAUGGAUAUGAAAAGUGAAGAAAGUGAUCAUAGGAGAAAACCAUUUCAGAUAUCUGUGGAUAUCUCUCCAGAACUUCAUGUAUAUGUGUCUGAUGAUUUGUGAGCCUCAAGUGACUACUCUGUGGAAUCAUCUGUCCUUGCCUUUGAAUUAGCUUUCCCUAGGCCAUGAGUCAACAUUAGUAGUUUAUACAUCCAAAUUGAUGACAAGAGCACCUCAAAGGCAGCAGCCUCAAGGAGCAGCCAUGGCCCCAGACUUGUCGCACGGAUGCAGAAAACUUAAUGGAGGAGGCUGAGGUCAGAAUGGGAAGAGUUUUUAAAAAAUAAAAAGGGGAGCUAAUAUGUGA
rnacentral:lncRNA from 1 species